GCCAGACUCCUACGGGAGGCAGCAGUGAGGAAUAUUGGUCAAUGGCCGCAGGGCUGAACCAGCCAAGUCGCGUGAGGGAUGACGGUCCUAUGGAUUGUAAACCUCUUUUGCCGGGGAGCAACGGGCGUCACGUGUGGCGCCACUGAGAGUACCCGGAGAAAAAGCAUCGGCUAACUCCGUGCCAGCAGCCGCGGUAAUACGGAGGAUGCGAGCGUUAUCCGGAUUUAUUGGGUUUAAAGGGUGCGUAGGCGGAUCUUUAAGUCAGUGGUAAAAUGGGGGGCCUCACCCCCUCCCCGCCAUUGAAACUGGCGCUCUUGAGUGGAAGAGAAGUAUGCGGAAUGCGUGGUGUAGCGGUGAAAUGCAUAGAUAUCACGCAGAACCCCGAUUGCGAAGGCAGCAUGCCGGCUUCCGACUGACGCUGAAGCACGAAAGCGUGGGGAUCGAACAGGAUUAGAUACCCCUGUAAC
rnacentral:rRNA from 1 species